ensembl:lncRNA
CAAUUAUUGAACCAUUGAUUAUAUUAUUGGAUAAUAUAAUGUAUAAAUAAACACCAAGGUAAUUCUUUGUCAUGCCUCAUCUGAGCAGGAUCAGAUGGUGACAGGGGUCUCAGCAGGGUCAGGAAACCAGGGAAGGCCAGUCUGUGAGAGCGCUGAGCAUCAGUAGAACACGCCUGACUCUCCUCCACCAGUCAUAUUACCAGGACGCCACCCAGGACACAAACACUUUGGUGGAAAGCUGCUGCCAUCCCAUGUGACAAUAGCAGCAGUGUGGCACCUCCACAAGGAAUCGAUGGCAACACUUGAGCUACUUGUAGUCAGGCUGUCUUCCUUCAAGAAUCUGUGGAGAAAAUUGCUGCCCUGCAUGUCAAG